rnacentral:rRNA from 1 species
CCCUUAGAUAUUCUGGGCCGCACGCGUGCUACACUGAGUGGAUCAGCGGGUCAGGUUGCGCGAAAGCGUUUCCUAAUCUUUAAAUCCGCUCGUGAUGGGGAUUGACGGUUGCAAUUUUCUGUCAUGAACGAGGAAUACCUUGUAAGCGCGGGUCAUCAUCCCGCGCUGAAUACGUCCCUGCCCUUUGUACACACCGCCCGUCGCUCCUACCGAUUGAGUGGUCCGGUGAGGCUUUGGGAUCUGAGCGGAAAGAGCGUUUCGCUGUUUCUGCUCGGAAAACUCAGUCGAACCUUAUCAUUUAGAGGAAGGAGAAGUCGUAACA